GGUCCCGUAGUUUAAUGGAUAAAAUCUCAGAUUCCGGUUCUGAGGCUGUGGGUUCGAUUCCCGCCGGGAUCA
rnacentral:tRNA from 1 species